UGCCGCGAUGAUGUCAGCACACGGG
rnacentral:piRNA from 1 species